AACGAACGCUGGCGGCAUGCCUAACACAUGCAAGUCGAACGAGACCUUCGGGUCUAGUUGCGCACGGGUGCGUAACGCGUGGGAACCUGCCCUUAGGUACGGAAUAACUCCCCGAAAGGGGUGCUAAUACCGGAUAAUGUCUUCGGACCAAAGAUUUAUCGCCUUUGGAUGGGCCCGCGUUGGUUUAGCCAGUUGGUAGGGUAAAAGCCUAUCAAGGCGACGAUCCAUAGCUGGUCUGAGAGGAUGAUCAGCCACACUGGGACUGAGACACGGCCCAGACUCCUACGGGAGGGAGCAGUGGGGAAUAUUGGACAAUGGGGGAAAGCCUGAUCCAGCAAUGCCGGGUGAGUGAUGAAGGCCUUAGGGUUGUAAAGCUGUUUUACACGGGAUGAUAAUGACAGUACCGGGAGAAUAAGCUCCGGCUAACUCCGUG
rnacentral:rRNA from 1 species